UGGGGGCUAUCUCCUGUUCAUCACUGUGAGCUAGGAAGAUAUAGUGGCAUGCACAUCACAUUUGCAACCAGAUUACCUAGGUUCAAAUUCUGCCUCCACAAUUUACUAGCUACAGACCUUGUGUGAAGUUGUUGCUAAAAGACAGCUUCUCAACCACGAGUUCCAUUUUCCAGUCCUUCUUGCACCCAGAGGCAGCCAAAGACAAAAUUUUGCCACUGAGAUGGGAACAGAGUGAAGUGUGUCACUCCCAAGACUGGGUCCCUGAGUCAUCAUAUGGAGAAAAACCACCCCUUGACCAGGAAUGUCCUUGUUGGACUGUUAAGUAAGGGGAAACAAAAUUUGACCGUAUUCAACUCCUGAAAUUUUAGGGUAAGUUUGUUACAAUAUCUAGUAUUAUUAUACUAACUAGUACAACUUUAAAGUGUUGUGAAAAUUGAAUGAGUGGGUUAUACAUUGUCUCCUCAAAGUGGUUGCUGGCUGAACAUAAAUGUGUGCAGAGUUUUGAAUCCUUUAAAUCAGUCUCACGAGAUUUUGAUCCCUUUUCUUGUCUCACCUUUCCAGAGGGGAUGGUUUUUACUGUACUGAAUAUAUAUUUCUUGGAAGGUUAGUGGCUAAAGGAAGAGGAAUAUUGGGCCCCUAGGACCUUACAGACUUGUAUUACCAAAAAAAAAAAAAAAAA